rnacentral:misc_RNA from 1 species
AAAGUUACUGUUUUGUCAGAAGUAUCAACAUUGGCAAGAAAAGCAGAACAUGAUCCUGAUCCCGUUUUAUAGACAGUUGCCUCCAAAUUUGGACCUAGAGAAGUAGUUGUUGGUUCAGUAGCUAUCAAAGCUUCUUCACAAAGCUUUAUGGCCUUGUGCACAUCUUUCAAGUGGCCCCACUUAGGUUGUCUAAGAAGCCCAUAUUCAUCAAGAGGAGCAUCAUAAUCAUAACUUGUAGAAAUAAA